rnacentral:rRNA from 1 species
UGGUGGAGUGAUUUGUCUGGUUAAUUCCGAUAACGAGCGAGACCUUAUCUUACUAAUUAGUGCUUGAAAUUUUGUUCUCUGUACUUCUUAGAGGGACUAUCGGCAUUUAGUCGAGGGAAGAUUAAGGCAAUAACA